CCUACGGGUGGCAGCAGUGAGGAAUAUUGGUCAAUGGGCGGGAGCCUGAACCAGCCAAGCCGCGUGAGGGAAGAAGGUACAGCGUAUCGUAAACCUCUUUUGUCAGGGAACAAAGGCGGGGACUAGUCCCCGGAUGAGGGUACCUGAAGAAAAAGCAUUGGCUAACUCCGUGCUAGCAGCCGCGGUAAUACGGAGGAUGCGAGCGGUAUCCGGAUGUAUUGGGUUUAAAGGGUGCGCAGGCGGCCUGUUAAGUCAGCGGUAAAAGCCCGGGGCUCAACCCCGGCGAGCCGUUGAUACUGGCAGGCUGGAGUUGGAGAGAGGGAAGCGGAAUGCGCGGUGUAGCGGUGAAAUGCUUAGAUAUCGCGCAGAACCCCGAUUGCGAAGGCAGCGUACCGGCUCCACACUGACGCUGAGGCACGAAAGCGUGGGUAUCGAACAGGAUUAGAUACCCUAGUAGUC
rnacentral:rRNA from 1 species